rnacentral:rRNA from 1 species
ACGGAAGGCAGCAGUGGGGAAUAUUAGGCAAUGGGGGCAACCCUGACCUAGCAACGCCGCGUGAAGGAAGAAGGCCUUCGGGUUGUAAACUUCUUUUAUGAGGGACGAACAAAAUGACGGUACCUCAUGAAUAAGCCACGGCUAACUACGUGCCAGCAGCCGCGGUAAUACGUAGGUGGCAAGCGUUGUCCGGAUUUACUGGGUGUAAAGGGCGCGUAGGCGGGAUGGCAAGUCAGAUGUGAAAUCCACGGGCUCAACUCGUGAACUGCAUUUGAAACUGUCGUUCUUGAGUAUCGGAGAGGCUAACGGAACUCCUAGUGUAGCGGUGAAAUGCGUAGAUAUUAGGAAGAACACCAGUGGCGAAGGCGGUUAGCUGGACAAUAACUGACGCUGAGGCGCGAAAGCGUGGGUAGCAAACAGGAUUAGAUACCCUGGUA